AAUUAAUUAAAUCGCGUAUAUUUUCACGAACACGUACUAUUUGCUCAUUGCAACAAAUGUGUGAAAAUUCAAACGUUUUUAGAAUAAAGCAUUAUAUUAUUCCAUUUAUCGUUGGAGGAAAAUUUGUCGUCCUCUAAGACUUCUUUGAAACGUCAAACUGGUAUUGAUGAAUAAUAGAAUUUUAUCAUUCUUACAUUUCGGUGGUCGUACAAAUGAUCGAUAUAAGAACACGUACUCUCCUUAUAAAUGAAACAAACACUAUUUUUCUGAGCAGAUUUUCAACGACACAUACAAAACAGAGAGAGAGCAGAGAGCAGAUUUUCAACGACACAUACAAAACACCAGUCUAAUUAUAAGAUUGCGAAUUUUUAUGCAUUUAUGAAAAUUUCUAAAGUACAUAAAUGUACACGGAACGCGUAUAAUACGCAAAAACAUAUAAAAUACCGAAGAAUCAGUACUUAUUCUAAUGCAUAUUUAGUAGAUGAAACACAUUUGUUUUAGUCGUUUUAUAAAAAUAUAAGUUUGCGUAAAUAUCCGCAAUCUACCAAUUAUCAAUAGAUAAAAGCAGCAUUUUAUUUUGGCUAGUAACAACUCAUAUUUCUUAACGAAUGCAAUGCAUAUAAUAUCGGACGAUUAUUCGUAAUGCAUGCUGUAAAUUAGAUAGUAAUCUGUUUAUACACUCAAUAACAUUGCUCACUCUUUGCCUUAUUUAUGGAUUGUCGAUUGGAAUCGGCUUUAUUGCAAGCGUAAUUGUAAAUGUCAAAGUUCAUAGGAAAACACAUUUACACCAAUAGAACGUGUAAUACCCAUGAUGUGAGUUUUGCAUCAAAUUAAGAGAAAAUUCUUAAUUAUUGCAUAGUCCAGCCAUUUCGCAUGAAAUUUGUAACCUUUGUUGUAAUUUUAUUAUCGUUAAUUAUAGUAUCAAUCGAAGAAAUCUUAUUACGUGUACAUGUGAAUCAGAAACAUUGUGCUUCGUCAUCUUAAGAAACAAACGAUCGAAGCGAAUUAUAGAUACAUUCUGUAAUCAGUGAAGAACCAAUUCUCUUAAGCUUUGUUAUUCAAGGCUGAUGAGUAAACUGCGAGUGAUUAUUUAUGGGGAAUUUAAAUGUGUGCAAAAAUGCAGAGUACAGUAGAACGCCUUAUAUGAACCUGUUAGGGGACAAGUUGGUUCGUAUAAUCAGGUCACUCAUAUAACAGAAACCCGUCUACUUUUACCCGAUCGUGACUUUUUCGUUCAGUUAAUAGCAAUUUAUAUUUAUACAAGAUUCCACGAAAUAUUUACGCUUAAAUAUAUAAUAAUGCUGCAAACUUGUAUCGAUUGCGAGGCAAGAGAUUGUGUCAAAUAACACGUGUCUCUACUGUUUAUUGCUUACAUCUUACAGUAAGACAUUCAGAUAAGUGGAUUGUGCUCGGCAGUAGUUCAGAUGAAUAGGAGCUCAGCUGAAGUUCAGACGACCAGACACUACUAAAAUUUCCUUCGUAUAUAUACAGGAUGUACCAAGAAUUAUGCUAAAAAUCGAAAGGGAAUGAUUGCGCAUGCGAAAAUCCCAUCUUUCACAGACAUGCAUGAACGUCUUUGGUAUAAUGAUGGGGAAAAUCCAAAGCACCUUUACCGUUACAAGAUCUUAGUGAUCCUUGUUCGUUCCUUUUCCACAAGAUGAGUAAGAGGUAGAUGUUGACUUUGUAGCCAUUCUAGACCUUGACAAUAAAGAUCAUUACCCCUUCCAUACGUUUUCACUACACGCGCUAGCAAUGUACCAUCACAGAAACAAAAAAACAAGAGAAGAAAUUCAACGAAAUAUGUACAGAUACAUUGUUUUUAUA
rnacentral:lncRNA from 1 species